rnacentral:piRNA from 1 species
UNGGAGAGCAAGAAUGCCUAACUGAGAUGC